ACUUAAGCUAACAGGAAAAACAAGAAUUCUGAAAUGAAACUUUACUAGAAAAUGUAUAAACUAGAGGAAGGACCAUUUACUGAGCAGUAAUGUGUUCUGCUGGGCUUAUUAAUAUUCUAAAGGUACUUAUACAGUGCAGGUCAGAGCCGUACUUCAUUAUCUCAACAUGUGGGCUACAGAUCUCUCCGUCUGAAAAUACUUUGGAAUGAUUUCGGUGAGAGACUUCAUAUAAAUCCAUAAAGUUUUCUGCAAGAAAUUCUUUAUAAUUUUUUUUAAAGCUGUCGACAGGAAUCAAUUUCAAAUUUCCUUCUGCUGCACUAAAAAAAAGGAGCUUUUGUUCACAUAAGGCACCAGUUUCUAACAGUAUGUAGUUGGUUUGCCAUCAUCCCUUUUGCAGCUAAAGGUUUAAAAGAUACACUUUACAAUGAGGAGAAUUAUUUUCUCUGCCUGAUAUUUUAACAUUCACAAUGCUUUACUUUUAGCAUGUAUACAGUUGUACACAGCACAGUGUUGUGGUGGUAUGUGUUGGUGCCUUACAACAAGGUUAGUGGUGUUUUGUGUACAGCUGCAUGUUCUCCUCCAGAAAUGUGUUUUCCUCCCAAAUAGCAAAAACAUUCAGACCGCAGUAUGUGGAAACUUAGUUGACCAUAGGUGUGAAUGUCUGUCUGUCUGCGUUAGAAUUCAGUCUGUACAAUGUGACUUCACUGAUGUGGAUUCGUGGUUCUUUGAACCAGCGACAUCCAAAUAUUGCUUGCCUUUUGUUUUGAUCUGUGCGCAGCAGCAGAUGUUGUGAGUUUUCCCACACUGGCGUAUCUGCAGGGGCAUAUCAAUAGCCUAAUCUCAUGCUGAUCGUCAAGUCAUUACAUCACAUAGUGUGAUAGCAUAUGUGGAACCACCACUUAAGUUAUCCAAAUAUGUUAUCAAUAACACCCAUCUACCUGGUGCCACAGAUGCAUGAAACGCAGUGUGUUAGAUCCCAGCCUGACUCUGUCUCCUUGAAUAGUGGCCUGUAACGUACGUGUGAGUGUUGUGAGGAUGAAGUCAUACUUCACAGUCUGAGAGAGCGAGAGCUUCACUUCCUACCUUUGGAAGAGAAUGAGGGUUUGUGUGACAGCUUGAUGGAUGAUCUUUUUUUGUACGCGCUGCUUGUGGAAUAAAAUGAUUUCAUGUGGUUCUGAGGCCGCACUGUUCUCGCUCGUCUGGAGCAGCACAGCAAUUAGCACAGUCACCCAUUACAUUCACUGUAUGAUAGGGCUGCAGUGUGUUUUAAGUGGGUGUGUUGCAUGUGGAAAAGAGGGCUUGCAGUAUGCACGUGUUUGCAGAUGUGAAAGUCAAACCUCACGGGACAUAAUUUUAAAACCACACUUGUAGCUUCUUGAGACAACUUUGGCAAAUAUUUGCAGUGACAAGUGAAAUACACAUCUAGCCUUCGCCAGUAAACAAUUCACAGCCGUUUAGUGCAAGCUUUCAUGGAUUUCAAUUUACAUUUCAAUUUAUGGAAUUAACUUCCGUUAUCAAUCAAACUAAGCAAGGAUUACUCCGGAUCAGCUCCAAAGUGAAAUAUGGUGGAAACUAAAAGGUGUAGAAAAUAUAAACCUUGUUCACACGUGAGGACAGAUUUCCCACUAACAGACCAAAAAAACUAUGUCCUCUAUAAAGCAGUCAUUGUUUAAGCGAAGAGUCAACUCUGUAUCAAUCUUUGAAAAGUCCUGAGUAUGUACUGUAGAGUGUGGCCCAUCUAUGUGCAUCCUGAAAUUAAUGAUUUGACAGACCUGGGGGCGUUUCUAGAGAUUUAGGAGAACCUAAACCUAAACAUACUAAAUCUAUGAAACUGUCUUUCAAAACAAGGUAUCAAUGCAUUUUGUUUACUCUCCAUAAUUAACAUUAAAUCUCUCCAAGUGGGAAGCUAAAAGUUAGUCUAAAAUAACUUUUUAUAAGUCAGGAAAUGCAAAAAAGUACAUGAGGGUGGUGCAGGUUAUGUCUGAGUGUGCUCCUAGUGAAUACUUGUUUUUAGUGUUGAUGGACGGGCUCUUUGUGGUAUUCAGAGGUGGGAUUGUAAUCUAUUGCGUGUAAAGAUGUGUAUUGGUGGAUUGGAUUUUAGUGAGCAGGAUUGACAGGUUAGAAAUUAGUUGAUCAGAUUGGCAGUCCAGGGUGUAAAAUGUAAAUUGAAUUGAGAAGAUUAAUUCAAUACGCCUCUUUUUUAACUUGAGUAAAUUGCUCAAUACUUAGCCAUCUUGCAAUGUCCAGUGAGUUUAGCAUUUAUAUGAGUUGUUGUCAUUUAUAUAACUUAUGUUUUGACAUUGACAUGAAAUCAAUUAUUUCUACUCAUUACAUUUUUAAUAAGAAACAAGAAAGUUCCUGCACCAGUAACUUUAGAAAAGGAAACUGCAGUAAUGACUAAGUAGCCAUGUUGGGCAUUUCCAUGGGUCUGAAGACUGAGGUAAUGCAAUUUGUCCGUACAUAUUAAACUGAGCAGACUUAGAGGCAGAUGUCCACUCUCAUUACUCUACUGAAAACAGAGAAGGAAGCAACCAGACCUCUGCGAAACCAAGAGUGAAAUGAGGGAGCCAGCUCCAGUUAGUGCUCCCACAUGACAGAAUGCCAAAAUAGCAUGUAAAAAUAACCCAGCAUAAAAUAAUUCCAUUCUAAAUGGUAUUUUAAAGACAUGUUACGAGCGGUAAUCAUAAAUGUAAGUGACGUCAGCCAGCCUCAGCCACAAGUGUAGCGUCCAGCGUUAACUUUGCGGCAGAGAAAUUACAGCAGUGGGCGGAAACAUGGAGUUACUUAUACAUCUGACCUAAAUAUUAACAUUCUUCCAGAAACCCUCAGACUGUGUCUAUAAAAUCUCCACUGUCACGAAAAACUUCCAAAUGAAAUUUACAUUUUCAGAGUCGUGAUGUAAUCGUUGCAUUUUCACUAUUGUCUGUGUGAGCUUUUCUCCAGGCUGCAGGUUUUCUUUGGGAAUGUCAGUCCCAGGUCUGAAUGACAGUGGUGUGGUUUUCACCUGAUUAUAUGAUAAUGACAAUCUGAGGGAACUGAUUUACUUCUGAGCACACAAGUUCUUUCAUUGACCUCAGUGACCACACGCUGUUUUUGUGGCUUGGCUGAAAUGUAUGACAUUUACGGGAGCUGUGAAAACCUCUCCCUUAAAACCUGCACACAUUACAGCUAUUAGGAGGGAUUAUGUAAUUUUACAUUUUAAGAAAGAAAUUCAAAUUUAAAGGUUCCUUUUGGAUUAUUACCUGUCAAAGUGUAUUAAACACAUUUAUUAUAUGCAAAAGAAAAAAAAGUUGACAUUUUUUGUAUAAUAAAAUCCAGGACACAUAUUUGAUCAGAGUCUAAGCCAAGAUGGUUUACAUCCUGAUAAGAAGUAAUUAAAUAGGUUUUCAAAUUAUAUGAAUUAUUAUUUAUUAAUCUCAAAAGCAAAAACAGUCUCUGUUAGCUACAAAUAAAUUGCUAAAAUUAGCCAAAAAUAAUAAAUACAUGUUUGCCCAGAAAAAAACUUUUUUUUUUUCCAAAAACAUCUAAAAUAAAUUCAAAAACAGCGCAUACCACUUAAAUCCUGCCCCUGUGCCACUAGUGGUCCUGUGGCCUGAUUUUGGGCACAUCCUAAUGUAGUUUCCUAAAAGACUGACAUUUAGGUCCUGAUCCUUUCAGAGACAGUUUUGUGAAUGAAAUAAAACAAAACUCAGGGAACUUCCUACUUUCCUACAACUGUGACCAAUAGAUCAAUAAAGUAAUAAAUGAAACCAUCUGGGGCAGAAAGUACAUUUUACCUUUUGCCUUUUCGCUGAACAAGGAGACAUAAGGAGGAAACAGGGAGAGUAGAUAUGAUUUGGCAGCAUUUUUCCAUUCCUGAAACAGGACUCUGCUCUGAUCUGCUCCACUGCUGCUGUGAGGUCAAAGAGCAUGAUGUGUGCUGGAUGUUUUUGUCAUUUAUCAAUAGCCUGAGAUUAGAUUUCACUCAUUCACAGAGUUAGUUGGCAGCGUUUAACAGACAAAGUGCAGUGAAGGCGGUGUCUGGAUGGCUUACAAAAACAGCUGCUGCAUAAACCUGGUUUUUCUACAUCCUUCUCCUGGACUACGUUCAAAUACAAAGAUUUGUUUCCCAUUAUAGUGAUUUUUAGAGCUGUUAUCUACAGUAUCCUAAGUGUAUGUGUUCACUGAACUUUUCCCAUCUUUAAAACUGAUGUACCAGUUACUCACCUGCACCAAAUGCAACUGAAUAAAAUCAGUGAUUUGACAUGUGAUCCAGUCCAGUCUCAUUUAGUCAGUUUAUGUAACUUUGUUUAAAUUACAUGCAAAAUUGCAAAAUUACAAAGUAACUGAUUUUAACCGUAAUUGGACUCUGUGUAUUGGGAUUGUCCGUCCACCAAUCACAGGCUGAAUCACGGAUGCAUUAGGCCCCAGUCUUCUCCAAUAAUUAACUAAUUAAAAGGGGGGAAUCACAAUAUUUUUGUAAUUGUUUUUUUUAAACCUUGUGAUGUUUUUCAAUUUUCUUUUCUUCCUGACGCUGUUUCUAUAGAGUCAUACAUUGUGAAUUCACAUAAACCUCAUGACUGCAUGAGACCAUAUUCAGGAUUCAAAUACAGGCUGAGGCUUUAUUACUGGUGUAUGUAUGCAUUAGUGUAUGGACCAGUUAGUCCCAGAGGCCUGUAAAUAACAAUAAUCCAGCAGCAGGAGGAUUGUGGUCUGGAUUCUGAAGCACUUUAUUAGGAGGAAGUCUGCAAUUACAUAUUUUCAGGGUAAACAUUAACUAGCGCUGUAAAACUGGCCUCCACAACAACGGCCCCUUGGACUGUAAUGUACACUAUAUACUUAUAUGAUUCACUUUUCCUGCAACAGUUACAGACACGGCUGCCCAGUUCUGCAGUCUGCUUUAUUUUAGCAAACUAUUAAUCUGCUGCUGUUAGUUUCCAUUUGAGGUUGUUUUCACAGCAUUAAGAGGAAAACCUCACAAUUUAUAGGAUUAAAGGGUACCCUUCUAUUAAAAUCAGGCUAAAAAUACAGUGCGACCACUGGCGCUGGAAGUAAGUCCUUUACAGAAAAUUAGCAUUUGAAUGAUUUAUUUUGACAGCAACCUCAAAGUUAUUCCUCCAAAUAGAGAUGCCAUAGUUUUCCUGGAUUAUUUAAUGAUGCUACAGUUUCAUGUAAUGCCCACUGGUUGCUAAUAUUCCUAUUCAUUUAAAUCCUGUAAAGACAGUUUGGGUUGAAGCACAAUCGCACAAAAUGGCUGAAUUAAUUCAAUAUUAAUCUAUAAUUUAAGAAUAGGGUUUUGCUUUUGUCAGCUUUUUAAGAGUGGUACGUGAAGCGUGGAGGGUAAAAAAAAAGACAUUGAAAAGAAGGAAGGUCAUAAUAGCUUACAAAUGUUGCCCCCCACUCUCUCACUCCAUGCCCAUCUGCGGGCAAUUUCCAGAUCAGGGCAAUUGUGAUGGAUCUCUACCAUUCAGGUGUAAUUAUUUUAAGAGAGAUUGAGCUUCUAAGCACUUGGAAAACAUCAUCAACUGAGGCCCUGCUGUGUGUUAAUGCUUUUUCUGUUCUUCUUCUGUGGACCCAAUGGCAGAUGGAAGCGCUUUAGUAUGUUGCUGUGAACUGCGAGGACGGACAAUAAGAUAAGACCUGUUUUUUUUGCAAUAAAAAUAUUUUGAAUUCGGGGUACAAUUUAAAAAAAAUAUCUCAAGCCAUCUGUACUUUAUCUCUAAAACAAUCUAUCACUUUAACAAAUUAUAAGAAGAAAGCACUGCCAGCAUUCAAAAGUGUCCAAAACAUCAGCCAGAAAGCAUAGGAACUGAGACGUGGUCUGUGGUCACCACCUGCAGAACCACUCCUGUAGUGUGGGUCUCUUGCUAAUUGCCCAUGAUUUUCCCCUGUUGUCUAUUCCAUUUGCAACAAUUGUGUGAAAUUGAUUGCCAAUCAGUGUUGCGUCCUAAGUGGACAGUAUGAUUUCACAGAAGUGUGAUUGGCUCGGAUUACACUGGCUUACACUGUGUUGUUUAAGUGUUCCCUUUAUUUUUUUUAAACAAAUUUAUAUAAACAUUUAUUCUACUCAGACUUUAUGCAGCAACAUUAGGUAAUUAUUUGACAUUUUCUACAACGUUCCUAAAUGCUGAUGAACCUUGAGUUUUGCUGCACCUGUGUUGCACGAUUUCAUUGGCUGGUCUGCACGCGGACAGGGAGAUUGUUUACGUUUGCAGUACCAAACAGUACACCAGUACCAAAUAAUGGAACGCAUUUUUUUGGUUCACAUUUUGGACAUCGAAAUACGAAGGACAUCUGACCACGGCUGUGAAGUCGACGAGUCACAAAGGAUAAGGGCCCUCGGCUGCCUGGUCGGGUUUGGACCGGUGCCAUGCGGUAAUGGAAAAGCAGCGUCAGACCCACUUCGGCCGUCUGCGAGGUCUUUGUUGCUACUAUUGUCAGCAGGCUUCUGCCGGCGGUGCGGAGACCACAUGCAAGUACUGUUUGCAGCCGUCCUGAACCAUAUGAUCUUACGCUGUAACUUCUACAGGAACUGGCUGAAAAAGAGAAGAGGAGAAGAAGAAACUGGAGGCUUUUCAUCACGUCCAGAGAUCUGGUGUGAGGGGCAAGCAGCUCAACUGGAGUAAUUAAAAGAAUCAAAGACACAACAUGGCUCCACUUCCAGAUUUUGUCCCUCUUGAAGUAUCCCAGGGCUCACUAAAACGGCUCCACUUGAGCACGAUAACAGGACUUGAAUGUGACACCACGAGCCAGUCCACUGCUCCCAAUGAAGGGGUUGCUAAGGGGACACUGGCUGUCGUGUAAAUAAGCCACCUGGGAACUUGUGAAGAGCUUCCCCGGAGAGACACAGGCUGAGGGGACACGGAGAGAAAGGCCAAGAGAGCGAGCUUAAUGGAAACACUAUAUAGUGCCACCGGGAGACCUCAUAACCUCCGGCUGAAACACCCUGUCAUUAUCAAGUCAUUAGUUGUAGAGUAAAAGGUUUAAAAAGCAGAAACCGGAACGUACACAGAUUUAUUUUCUUUCUGCAACAAACUGGAUGUUCAUUCAGUCGACCUGACAAACAAGUUUUCAAUCUACGACACUCCAUCAAACUUAAGUAUGCCAUCAUUUCUAUCCUGUAACUUUGUUUUAUAUCCUUUUUGCUGACUUUAUCUUCAUGGGAACCUAAUACAAACGGAAACGAAAACCUAAUUUAUCUCCACAUAGGCUGAAAACAUUUUUUAAAGUAGUUUAAAUUAACUGUUUACAUCGUUAGAUGUUGUGACAUUAGGCUAAACUUUGCUUGACCACAGACUCAUUUCUUUGUCCUGUGAAGAAAUUAUCACUUUAAAAUAUGAGAGGCCCACAACUGUAUACAACUCCAAGAUAAUUUAGGACAAACUUUCACAGCUGCUGAGAAACCAUUAGCCUUGCAGCUGCUGUACAGCAUGGAAAUAUAGAUACAAGUCAUACAUGUGUCCAUCUCUGCACCAGUACUUAUAGUCGUUUCCAUUGGCUCUGAGACACCAAUGUUUAACAUUGGUGUCUUUGUGCCAGGAUGUAAGAUUUGAUUUCCAGAUGUCUAGUGAAUUUGUGCAGUCACCGAGUCUAAGGAGAUGUGAGCCCAAUGCUAAUAAGGUAAAGACAAAGAGAUUUGAACAGGCAUGAAUCAAUGCUAACAGGAUUUGCUGCAAACGGUCUUAACUGCAACGUUGUUCCCCCGUUGUUUUUGCUUAAUUUACUUAAUGUGCUGGAUUUACUAUGGAGCUCAGACGAGGCCCAAAGGCAAAUACUUAGGAUGGAGGCUGUGGUUGGUUUACAGGCUCACAUUCACACUCUCACACACACACACAUGCUUGUCGCACACUACAUCUGUGCUAACUCGUCCGUGGAGAACGGCCAGUGUGACAGCUGUAGGCACGUUUAUUUUCCCUUCCAAAACAUGGCCGUUUCCCAUGAACCGUUUUCUACGACUUGCCAGUAUCCAACUGAACCCUUGGCACAUUUUCUCAGAUUGUUGCCCCUCACUCACAACAAAGCAGCACCACACACACGAAUACAAGGGAAAAGGCCUAUGUCAACAGCAGAACAUGUGCUUGGAUAUGUUCUCGCUUAGUGCUUAUCUGUAAAUUGGAUGUAAAUCUGUUAGAUUAGAAGUGCUCAGCUCAAAAUGAUGAACAAUUACUUCCAGAGCCAUUUAGGGUACGAAGCAUGUUCCAUGUCACGUCUCCCUUGCGACCUUCAUAGACCAUGCCUUUUGUUUGUUUUUGAGCUGUUUUAGCUUUGAUCAAAUUGAUGCUUAAUAAACAAAAAACAUGUAACUAACAAAAAUGCUAAUAUGCAAGAGAGCUGUUGUGUCGAAACACUACUAAACAGAUGAAGGCUAAAAAAAGUGUCAUAUUGCAGAAUGUCUGCAGCUGUUUGGCAGUUGAUUUUUUUUUCCAGUUGCUGAAAUAUUUUUGCACUGAUUUAUGAAAAUAAAAAACAAACAUGUUGAAACAGAUACAAUAUGUCAUGCAAAUAACAUAUAAAUAAAUAAUAAAUAAUUUCAUUUGCUUUGUUUUCCCACUGGCACACUCAAAUAUCUGCAGUGAAUACAAUACCAUCAUCUGCAUAUGAUUUGUUGAAACUAAAUUCAUAUUGAAAUGUUUUAAAAAUGAAAACCGACACUAAAAUAAUAAGUUUAACAUUGUUUGCAUCAUCUUGCUUAUAUAGAAAAGAGCUGUGUUUGGAAAGUGAAACUGAAUUGUUGUCCCUAAUAUAAUUCUCCAUCUGUCUUCUCUGUUUAUAUCAUAGUCUUUCAAAGUGAAGUGAAGCUAUGUGAAGAAUUUUUGGUAUUUGUGAGAUGUCAUAAUGUGGUCAAUCUUUUGUGAUGACUUACGUCAUAGCAACGUGGCAAAUGACAGCCCAACGUUGUAUCAGAGGGAAGAGUUUGAACCCACUCUGAGUCAUCGCUGAGAGACUCAUAAUAAAAGUCAAAUUUAACUUUUUGAUUUACACAGACUGUUUUAAUUUUGUUUUUCUCUGGGGGAAUAAGCCUAAAUCAUGAAGACAGUAUGAGAACUCAAAGUGCACGCAAGUCCCCAUUUUCUGACGUGGAGCACAUGCAACAGUUUUGUGUUGGCUUUGAAAAUAUAUAAAUGUUUGUCGAAGGAAAAUGAAAAAUAGUUGAAAAUGAAUAUCAAAACCAUUUUAUGACCUCAUUUUUGAUCAUUUUCUAUUUUUCGAGUCUGGACUGUUUGUUUUGUGAACAGUAAUGAUAAAACUUCUGAUCCAGAAGUGUAGUAUCAGCUAAAUCAACCAGAAUAAUACAACACAUGUGAACAUUCUACCAACCUAAAGUUGCACUAGCAUUUAAAG